AAAAAAAAAAAAGAUUAUAUUAGAAGGAGGGCCUUCUCUAAAGGUAAUGAAUCCUUUAUUUUCCCUCCCUAGACAAAAAAUCCUUCUCUAAAAUUAACAAUCAUUUUUCUAAGCCUGGUUUAAUGCUUUUUAGGGAAGGACUGCUUAUUUCUUUUCCUUUCAAAGUAAUGCAAGCUCAUUAUAAAAAAAAAAAAAAAAAAA